UACGUAGGGACCAAGCGUUGUUCGGAUUUACUGGGCGUAAAGGGCGCGUAGGCGGCGCGGUAAGUCACUUGUGAAAUCUCUGAGCUUAACUCAGAACGGCCAAGUGAUACUGCAGUGCUAGAGUGCGGAAGGGGCAAGCGGAAUUCUUGGUGUAGCGGUGAAAUGCGUAGAUAUCAGGAGGAAUACCGAUGGCGAAGGCAGGUCUCUGGGCUGACACUGACGCUCAUGCACGAAAGCGUGGGGAGCAAACAGG
rnacentral:rRNA from 1 species